GAUGAACGCUGGCGGCGUGCCUAAUACAUGCAAGUCGAGCGAACGGACGAGAAGCUUGCUUCUCUGAUGUUAGCGGCGGACGGGUGAGUAACACGUGGAUAACCUACCUAUAAGACUGGGAUAACUUCGGGAAACCGGAGCUAAUACCGGAUAAUAUUUUGAACCGCAUGGUUCAAAAGUGAAAGACGGUCUUGCUGUCACUUAUAGAUGUAUCCGCGCUGCAUUAGCUAGUUGGUAAGGUAACGGCUUACCAAGGCAACGAUGCAUAGCCGACCUGAGAGGGUGAUCGGCCACACUGGAACUGAGACACGGUCCAGACUCCUACGGGAGGCAGCAGUAGGGAAUCUUCUGCAAUGGGCGAAAGCCUGAAGGAGCAACGCCGCGUGAGUGAUGAAGGUCUUCGGAUCGUAAAACUCUGUUAUUAGGGAAGAACAUAUGUGUAAGUAACUGUGCACAUCUUGACGGUACCUAAUCAGAAAGCCACGGCUAACUACGUG
rnacentral:rRNA from 1 species